GAAAUAUGCUGAUUUCUUAAUGUUUUGUUUUUUCAGAUUUAAGAAAAUCUUUUUUUCUUUUCACUCUUUUCUUUUUUUUUAAGAUUUUAUUUUUCCUUUUUCUCCCAAAAGCCCCCCAGUACAUAGUUGUAUAUAUUAUUUAGUUGUGGGUCCUUCUAGUUGUGGCAUGUGGGAUGCCACCUCAGCAUGGCUUGAUGGGUGAUGCCAUGUCCAUGCCCAGGAUCCAAACCAGUGACACCCUGGGCCGCUGAAGCAGAGUGCGCAAACUUAACCACUUGGCCACAGGGCCGGCCCCUCUUUUCUCUUAAGGAACUAUGCCUUAUAGCAAUUUGUAAGCAGAAUUGAAGCAUUUAUCUCUUUCUCCCUACCUGAUACUUUGAGAAUUUAAAAACUCUUGAUGAGUGAGUAUUCUUAUUUUUAUGGUGAUAUAGGUAUUUACGUAAGUUCAAUAAGAAUCUGUUCUCCUUAUAGUAGGACACAAGUGGAAACACUGGUUAUAUUACCCCGACUUUGACUGGAAUGUCAUAUUUGAAAAAAGUGUAUAAACUCAGAUAUGACCAUAUAACUUUUGAGGAACAAAGGUUGUCUUUAUGAAAUAAAGCCACUUGGAAAUAUUGGCCUGGUACCUUGCGAACAGGAUACCCAGGAACCUUACCAGAAAUGCUUCUUAUUAAGUACCUGGUUACUUGCUUACAGAAUAUAGGCCUAGCUUUGGGAGACCCUUCCUAUGUUCUAGAGAUGAUCCAAAAGAACCAGAGAGAACUCAAAUUAAGGAACUAGACGCUGUCAGAUGUUCCUCUGCAUCAUCUUUGUAGUGGAGACUGAAUCCUAUUAAAGUCCUGAAAACACAAGCACCCAGAAGAUCAACUUCAUCCCCACUGAAUGGGACCAUACAAGAAAUGCCACAAGGGAACAGAAACCAUGCCAUAGAAGAACAUCACAACCAGGAUCACCCAAAUCUUGGCUGGCUUCAUACUCUAGACACUCACUUCUCUGAAUGGACAAAUGAACCUCUGAUAGACCUCAAGUUGCUAUACAGAAGACAGUCUCCUAAAGAUAAUAAAUGACUCUCAGAUUCUUACCUUACUUGUUGGACUACUAAACAGCAUGCUAUUUAGUUACAUCAGAUUUCACUUGAAGUUCCAGGCCCUAACCUUGAUUGGUUUACAGGCCUCUUCUCCUGGAUUCCCCAAGGAGUAAGGUCCAUUGUGGAGGGGAUACUAAAAUUUUGGUUGUGUAUUUUGCUAAUAUGUGUGGUUGUCUAUGUAAUCAUAAAAUGUGGACUUAUGUGUUGUUCUGAAGACAUUGAUCAGAGUAGUAAAAUAUUAGUCAUGCAGAACAUACCUCACUCUCCCCCAUCUGGUACCCAAGAAUAUUUUUUAAAUAAAGGUAGAACAAUUUCAUUUCUCUGACCUCAAACUUUGCCCUUUCACAGCAAGACGCAGCUAGAGCAGUCUUCACCCCCAUUUCCCAAGAUUGAGGAAUGAUCAAAAGAGAGGGGGGCAUUGAAACUGAGGAUGAAGCAGUCAAAAUUUCGCUGGAUUAAGGUGAAAUUGUGCCUUGUACCCACAAGAUUAAUGUGGGAAACAAAAUAACCAAGGUUUCUGAGCUUGUCUUGCAGAACAGCAGGAGGACCGCUGAUACCAGAGAAACUUGCUGACAGCCUCCUGCCUGCCUAAGCCUCUUGCCCGAGCAUUGAGAAGCUAAAAUGACUGAUUGUAAACUUUGGAUGUCACAGACCAAAACUCCACCGUGUGCAACAGAUAAUCAUGCCUGUGCGAGGACUUUUAGAACUUCAGCGCCAAGAACUUCAGCUCCCCCUGCCCUACCUAAAACCCCAAAUAAAAACCCUUGCUUGUAGCUUUUUGAGAGUUCUGGAUUACAGCAUUAGCUGCCUAUUCUCCCUGAUCAGUGCUUUGUAAUAAAAUUCCUACUUUCUUCCAC
rnacentral:lncRNA from 1 species